CAUGCAAGUCGAGCGGCAGCACGGGUACUUGUACCUGGUGGCGAGCGGCGGACGGGUGAGUAAUGCCUAGGAAUCUGCCUGAUAGUGGGGGAUAACGUCCGGAAACGGGCGCUAAUACCGCAUACGUCCUACGGGAGAAAGUGGGGGAUCUUCGGACCUCACGCUAUUAGAUGAGCCUAGGUCGGAUUAGCUAGUUGGUGAGGUAAUGGCUCACCAAGGCGACGAUCCGUAACUGGUCUGAGAGGAUGAUCAGUCACACUGGAACUGAGACACGGUCCAGACUCCUACGGGAGGCAGCAGUGGGGAAUAUUGGACAAUGGGCGAAAGCCUGAUCCAGCCAUGCCGCGUGUGUGAAGAAGGUCUUCGGAUUGUAAAGCACUUUAAGUUGGGAGGAAGGGCAGUUACCUAAUACGUGAUUGUUUUGACGUUACCGACAGAAUAAGCACCGGCUAACUCU
rnacentral:rRNA from 1 species